AUAUUCUCAGCAUUAUUCGUAUGCUUGUCUCAAAGAAAAGGCCUAAGUAUAAACGAUUUGUACUGUGAAACUGGGAAUGGCUCAUUAAAUCAGCUAUAGUUUAUUUGGUCAUACCUUACUACUUGGAUAACCGUAGUAAUUCUAGAGCUAAUACAUGCUAAAAUCCUGACUUCUGGAGGGGAUGUAUUUAUUAGAUAAAAAACCAACGCGGGCAACCGCUUGUCUGGUGAUUCAUAAUAACUUUUCGAAUCGUAUGGCCUUGAGCUGGCUAUGUUUCAUUCAAAUUUCUGCCUUAUCAACUUUCGAUGGUAGGAUAGAGGCCUACCAUGGUUUUAACGGGUAACGGGGAAUUAGAGUUCGAUUCCGGAGAGGGAGCCUGAGAAAUGACUACAUCCAAGGAAGGCAGCAGGUGCGCAAAAUACCCAAUCCCGACAUGGGGAGGUAGUGCCAAUAAAUAGCAAUACAGGGCUUUUUAGUCGCAAUUGGAAUGAAUACAAUUCAAAUCCCUUAACGAGGAACAAUUGGAGCGUAAGUCUGGUGCCAGCAGCCGCGGUAAUUCCGGCUCCAACAGGGUAUAUUAAAGUUGUUGCAGUUAAAAAGCUCGUAGUUGGAUUUAGGCCCGGCUGGGCAGCCUUGCUGUAUGACAUGUACUGUCUUGACUGGGUCCUCCCUUCUGGUAAGCUGUCGUGUUGUUUACUCAGUGCGGCAGGGAACCAAGACUUUUAUUUUGAAAAAAUUAGAGGUUUAAAGCAUGCAUUCGCUUGAAUACAUUAGCAUGGAAUAAUAAAAUAGGACUUUGGUUCUAUUUUGUUGGUUUCUAGGACCAAAGCAAUGAUUAAUAGGGAUAGUUGGGGGCAUUAGUAUUUAAUUGUCAGAGGUGAAAUUCUUUUCAUUAAUCAAGAACGAAAGUUAGGGGAUCGAAGACAAUCAGAUACCGUCGUAGUCUUAACCAUAAACUAUGCCGACUAGGGAUCAGACAAGGAUAAUUUGACUUGUUUGGCACCUUAUGAGAAAUCAAAGUUUUUGGGUUCCG
rnacentral:ncRNA from 1 species